ACUCAUCCCACGCACACGCAUCCAUCCUUAUCUAUGUGUACCCUCAAUCACUAUCCUCUAAAAAAUUGACCCUCUGCUCCCAUGUUCCAGAGUGAGUCUUAACCCUGCUUGGUAAUGUCAUCCAAGGGUCUCGUUUCUCAUUUUAUAUUUUGUUUAUUUUAUUUCCUUUUUUCUAUUUUCUUUUCUAAUGCGCCUUUAGGACAUUGGACUUAGCCCUUUGCUAUUAG
rnacentral:lncRNA from 1 species